rnacentral:tRNA from 1 species
GCCCACAUAGCUCAGUAGGUAGAGCAUUUCCAUGGUAAGGAAAAGGUCGCCUGUUCGACUCAGGCUGUGGGCACCA